CACAAUUAAACAUUGCCAGAGCCAGCUCCCAACUGAGUUGCAAAGAAAGAUGUAAACACACACACACACACACACACACACACACACACACAAAGACCCACCACACUCACACACUUUUCAAGCUGAAAAGAAAAUUAAUCAAAAGCCCAGUGAAUGCCUGAACUCUAUAAUUAAGCCUAAAUGAUCCUUCGAUAGAAAGGGAGCUGAGUGAGCCAGCUCAGUGCCCACAGAUAUUUUUACCUCAGAGUCUUAUUGCCAUUAAUUUCUUUUGAGAUCUUGUGUACAUCUGGUUCCAUUCCCUGGUAUGACAUCUGCCUGUGGAAGGUCUUCCAGAGAGUUGCCAGUUCAUUGGCCAGAGGACAGCCAAGGUUGUUCGGUCAUUUUCAGAAUGCAUCCUGGGAGAUGGGGUAGCAUUGCCUCUCCCUCUUCCCCAACAACUGUGACCCUUCCCUGGACAGAUCAAGAUAGUCGGAUCAUGUCCAGAUGUCUAAAGCAUCGCCUGAGAGAUGACAUUGUCACCUUGGUAGAGCCAUGGGGUCUGGAGCUGGUUGCAGACCCUCAGGUCUCUUCUACUUGGCAACCCCAAACCAGCUCAGGGAAACCCUUCUGCUGCCAGUCUCCACUCCCCCGUGCCACCUUGCUGGAGAGGCCUAAACACUGAGCAGCGAUGGAAAGAAAGGCGAUUACUGUACAGCCCCACAGGAAGCAGCUCAGGGGAGAAUUCCUGGUAGGAACGCCAAGAGACCUUUUGGAAAGGCUGAGCCUCAGGUUUGGGCCAGACUUGAAAUCCCUGCCCAAUUCACUGAGUUUAAGUGGCCAGCGAAACCAGCUUGUUCUUCCUGUCACAGACUCAGGCCAGAGAUAGGGAGAAAAUCUUGUGUACUCAGAGCUUUCUCUACUGGCCUGACUGCUCCUGUCAUUGUGGCUGGCACCUCACAAUUUGGAGCAGUAUAGAUUUGUCAUGUCUCCUAGUAGACAAGGCAAAGCCCAGCAAGCAGAACCACAUGGCAGAGACUAAGGAGGAGGAAAUGAGCACUGGCUGGUGGCUCCAGAAGCUGAAGCCCUGGACAGCUGGUUUCCAUUAAAUCGCGUGCCAUCCUGCCUGUCUCCUCGCCACCCUCCCAUCCUGUGACCAGUCCCUCCUAUCCAGUACCCUACCAUGUGCCCAACUGGGCCGACUGGUUGGCUGGUGGCGGGCUGUGUUGAAUUGGGAGUUAUGCCUGCUGUAUCUUUUUUGUGUGUGGAAAGAUUGGGUUCAUCCAGACCUCAAGUCCAUCCCAAACCCACCCGGUGAAGCCUCCCAAGGACAAAGAGCUGGUCAGCCUGGGCUUCAAUAUCUAACAUGGCCCAGCCUUGGUUCCCAAACCCUGCCUCCUGUCCCUACACAGUCUUGGGUAGGAAACAGAGGAAGGUGUGGACUCCCCUGCUCCUCCCCCUCCACGUGGGUGGCCAGUGUUAAUAAUCUCUUGUGCUUUCUCCAAGGUCUCCAAUCCUUGGAGAGCCAGGGCCAAAGCAGUGCUUUCCCCUACCAUGGCCAGGCUGAGUGCCUUCCAGUGGCCAAGGGUAGAGUGUACAUGAUCAGAAUUAGUGGAACAAGUGGAGAACUCCCCUAAGAGAACAAAAAUGUUGUGAUUGUUUUAUUUAUUGCUUUAUUUAUCGGCAUACCUACUGACUUAAUUUACUUAUGAAAUAUGUAUUUAUUCUACAGCAGAAAGUCCACUUCCCUCUUUGAAGCAUCAAUCCCAGAAUGUGUCUUCUUGGCCCCCGUAGAGCACAGUGAAUUAUUCCUCUUGGAAGACACAGGAAAAAGAGGGGAAAGUCUCUCCUUAUGCCCAAACACUUCCACCCCAGCCAGAUUUUUCAACCAGAAAUGACAUUAGAAAACACCAGCUAGAAGGCUGUAAAGCCACCACCCAAAUCAGCACAGGCUCGACUGUCUAGACCGAAACUCUGAGAAUCCUCUCAACCCACUCCCCUUGUACCUAUGCUCCCCUUCAACUCUUUCCCUGACUAGAGUCCUCAUCCUGCUUUGGGGCCAUAUCCUUAUCACCAGGUGCACAUUAGAAUCAUCUGAGGAGCUAGAAAGAGUGUCCAUGCCUGAUGUCCUCUCCAAAACAGUUACAGCAGAAUCUCCAAGGGUAGAUGUCAGGCAUCCGUGCUUUCUAAGUUCCCCCAGAUAACUCCAAUGUGAAAAUAGGGUUAAGAAGUAUUUCUGGUGUCUUCCGUUCUUCACCCCUCUCCACAACCCAGAACCCAUCCUCCUGUCAUUCCCAAGCUUCCUCUAGAGUCCUCUUCCCAUUCCUCCAGCUGACUUCCUCCCUGACAGAUCCCUGGAGUGGUAGCAGGUCCCCGGAGCCAAAUGCUGAGAGUGGGGUCUGCUCCCAGGUAGGUGAUUUCCAACUUUUCUAGGAGCAGAAACCUGUCCCCUGCCUGGAUUCUCUCUCCACCUGUGCCUCCCCCAGUCUCCCAAACUCUAGAAGUUUAAAAGGGCACAUCAUUGACAUUCCUGUCUCCAAGUCCCAAUCCUAACGGUAAGACUCAUGCCAGUUUUUAUAAUCCAAGGCUUGGCCAUUUCUGCUGUUCCAUCUCAAUAACAGAAGGUCUACUGGUGACCAAGGAAGGGGUCCCAUUGCCCCCAAGCUAAGUCCUUUGUCCAAAAUCCUGGCGGCAGCCACCACACAUCCAAAUCCUAGAUGGCUGAGAAGAGGCGUCUCACCCUUGACAUUUAUGAGAGCCACACUGCUGAGUGUGAGUAAAUGUGUGUGUAAAUGUAUGUGUGCAUGUGUAUAUAUGCAUACACUGUCUGCCUGUUCACUAUCUAGGUCUAUAGAGAUACUAAUUUCAACUUUACAGUGAUGACAUUUUCCAUGAAAGCAAUUGAGGACUUUGCUGUCUUUCACUCACUGGAGUUGUACUAUUUCAGGAUGGGCUCAAGUGAAUCUUAUAUUCUAUAUAUACGCAGAAUGUUGUAAUAUUAAAAACUGCUGGGCACACUACACACACACACACACACACACACACACACACACACAGCACCUAUGGAAGCCUGUGCUGUGGGAAGAGCUCAUUUUGUUAACCUUCAUCCCCCGUCUAAGUACUUUCCUGGGACAAGCACCAUGUUGCACCCCUCAGCUGCCUGGCCCCUCCCCAUCCUUCAUUCAUACCACCAGGCAUCCUUUUCCAACUCAUUCAUCAGAAUGUCCCUGCCCCAAGUCCCAUCUCUCAGGGUCCUGCUCUCUGACAGGUGGCAAUUCAGCAGUGGGUGCUAAAGAGUUGAGUGUUAGUUUCCCAGGUGACAUUUAUGUUUUAAAGGGGCUACAGAUAAUGCCUUAAUCCAGAGGAGAGCUGUAGUGGUGGAAAUUCCAGGCACAGAAGUGGGCUGGUAAGGGAGCUUUUUUUUUUUUUUGGUACCAGGGAUCAAACUCGGGACCUUGUGCUUUUGAGACAGGUGGUGGAACCACUGAGCUGAAUCCCUGGCCCCAGGAGCUUAUUUUUAUCAGAGGGCAUUUCAGAGCCCCCCACAUCAUACCCGUCUCUCAGAUCAGCCCUUCCUAAGCACGUAAGCACAAGAAAGCACACUUACUGAUAUAGAUGUUCCAGAAUUUUGAGAUACCUCCCUUACAUUGGCCCUGUCUUAAAAAUGAAAAAAGAAAAAAAAAAACAGUUAAAUUAAUUUAAACCUCCUUGGGUAAUGUAGCUUAUUUUUCACCAGGCACUAGCCAUCUGGUCUACCCCACCCUGUUCCAGUUUCUUCCUGCUCCUUGUGUUUUCUGCUACAGCCGCAUCUGUUAAUUUGGUCAUAUAUGUCCACUCUGCUGUCUCCUUUCCUGCUCUCCCCCAUAUGUCCGUCCUUCCCUGCUUCCCCCUGGAAUUGUCCUGUUUGUCGGUGUUGUCGAGGACAGAAGAGCAGGUUAAGCGCAUGAGCAUGUGUGUAUCACUUUGAAGAAAGAGAAACCAGGUAUUCUGCUACAGUUCGGAGAAAAACCCAAUGAAGGGAGAGAUGAAAGCUGGCUCUGCAGAGUGCCUUAAAAUGACUUUACUUAGGAAAUUCUGAGUUGUCAGUCUUUGGAUGUUACAUGAACUCAACAGAUGUUGCAUUUCACUUCUCUGGGAUUAAAAAAAGUUAAAUACAGUAUGAUUCAACAAUGACAACAAAGUAUAUUUUCUCUUUAAUUUGUUCCUUAAAUAUGUAGUGUCUGAUU
rnacentral:lncRNA from 1 species